GUCCACACCGUAAACGAUGAAUGCUAGGUGUGGGUGCAAACCUCCGUGCCGGAGUUAACACAAUAAGCAUUCCACCUGGGAGUACGGCCGCAAGGUUGAAACUCAAAGGAAUUGACGGGAGCCCGCACAAGCAGUGGAGUAUGUGGUUUAAUUCGACGCAACGCGAAGAACCUUACCAGGAUUUGACAUCCCCUGACUACGGCGUAAUGGCCCGGUCUCGGGACUUCGGUUCGACAGGGAGACAGGUGGUGCAUGGUUGUCGU
rnacentral:rRNA from 1 species